UUAGCCAGCUUCUCUCUGUGGGCUCACCGAUGAGGAAGUGGAGCGCUCACUGCGGAACCAAUCACAGUCAAGCCGGCCAGAUGGUGGCAGUAAUGGGCGCAAAAUGCCACAAAACACCAGAAGAAGAAGGCAACCCAAGGCGAAGAAGAAGGAACGGAAGGCAGCUGACAUCCCACGUUGUAGCCGCGGUGUGGAGCGUGGACAAGAUGUCGCUCUAGAUUGUCCUGGUUCGCUGGAAAACCUCACCUGGGUCCAAAGGAAAUGAUCACUUCGGAGGAAAUGACCUCCAACCUACUCAUCAUGGAGGAGCCCCAAUCCUCAAACAUACAGACCAUGUGGCAGAGGGAGCUGGUGUGUCGGCUGCUGACGUGGAACUGAUUCAUGUUGCAGAUGAUCCUUGCGUGAAGAUGGGAUUGUUGAUCCUUUAUAGAGCCGGGAGGAGAAACGUGGAGAGCCUCUGUUCUGUUGUCUUUUUUUUGUUCCAGCAUGUUUUGAAACGUUUAUCUCUGGAGAAGUGCAGGCUGUGUGACGCUCAGUCAAACUGCUGGUCAUCGCACACUGGCCCAAAGAAACAAGGUUGCUACGACUGACGCCCAGUCCGUGAAGAAUGGCCCGGGGAUGAUUCUGCAGCACAACCACUGUCUGCUUUUGAAGCAGGGCUGUCGGAAAGCUUUGUCAACUACUCCGCCCAUGCUCCAUAAUGGGAAGGUGCAUCUUGUACGAGAAAAUAACGCCCUCCCUGCCCUUGGAUGAGUUUUAUUAAAGAUGUUGUGGAUGUGAAUGUACCUCUCUCUUUUAUAAUAAACUUCUUAUAACUGUUCAGAA